rnacentral:rRNA from 1 species
GUAAGGAAUAUUGGACAAUGGACGCAAGUCUGAUCCAGCCAUGCCGCGUGAAGGAUUAAGGUCCUCUGGAUGGUAAACUUCUUUUAUAAGGGACGAAAAAAGACUUUUCUAAGUCGUCUGACGGUACCUUAUGAAUAAGCACCGGCUAACUCCGUGCCAGCAGCCGCGGUAAUACGGAGGGUGCAAGCGUUAUCCGGAUUCACUGGGUUUAAAGGGUGCGUAGGCGGGCAGGUAAGUAAGUGGUGAAAUCCUAGAGCUUAACUCUAGAACUGCCAUUGAUACUAUCUGUCUUGAAUAUUGUGGAGGUAAGCGGAAUAUGUCAUGUAGCGGUGAAAUGCGUAGAUAUGACAUAGAACACCUAUUGCGAAGGCAGCUUACUACGCAUAUAUUGACGCUGAGGCACGAAAGCGUGGGGAUCAAACAGGAUUAGAAACCCGUGUAGUCC